CCUACGGGAGGCAGCAGUGGGGAAUAUUGCACAAUGGUGGAAACCCUGAUGCAGCGACGCCGCGUGAGCGAUGAAGUUUUUCGGUAUGUAAAGCUCCUUCAGCAGGGAAGAAAAUGCCGGUACCUGACUACGAAGCCCCGGCUAACUACGUGCCAGCAGCCGCGGUAAUACGCAGGGGGCAAGCGUUAUCCGGAUUUACUGGGGGUAAAGGGAGCGUAGACGGUCCUGCAAGCCAGGUGUGAAGCCCCGGGGCGCAACCCCGGGACUGCAUUUGGAACUGCAAGGCUAGAGUGUCGGAGAGGCAGGCGGAAUGCCUAGUGUAGCGGUGAAAUGCAUAGAUAUUAGGAAGAACACCAGUGGCGAAGGCGGCCUGCUGGACGAUGACUGACGUUGAGGCACGAAAGCGUGGGGAGCAAACAGGAUUAGAUACCCGUGUAGUC
rnacentral:rRNA from 1 species